rnacentral:rRNA from 1 species
CCUACGGGAGGCAGCAGUGAGGAAUAUUGGUCAAUGGACGCAAGUCUGAACCAGCCAUGCCGCGUGCAGGAUGACGGCUCUAUGAGUUGUAAACUGCUUUUGUACGAGGGUAAACCCCGAUACGUGUAUCGGGUUGAAAGUAUCGUACGAAUAAGGAUCGGCUAACUCCGUGCCAGCAGCCGCGGUAAUACGGAGGAUCCGAGCGUUAUCCGGAUUUAUUGGGUUUAAAGGGUGCGUAGGCGGUUUGAUAAGUUAGAGGUGAAAUGUCGGGGCUCAACCCCGAAACUGCCUCUAAUACUGUUAGACUAGAGAAUAGUUGCGGUAGGCGGAAUGUAUGGUGUAGCGGUGAAAUGCUUAGAGAUCAUACAGAACACCGAUUGCGAAGGCAGCUUACCAAACUAUGUCUGACGUUGAGGCACGAAAGCGUGGGUAGCAAACAGGAUUAGAUACCCGGGUAGUC